GUUGUAAACAUCGAUACUCGUACGAUCACGGAAGUUAAACAACGUUGAGCCUGGCCUGUGCCUAGAUGGGUGACCACCUGGGAAUACAAAAUGCUGUAA